UACGUAGGGUGCAAGCGUUAAUCGGAAUUACUGGGCGUAAAGCGUGCGCAGGCGGUUUUGUAAGUCUGUCGUGAAAUCCCCGGGCUCAACCUGGGAAUUGCGAUGGAGACUGCAAGGCUAGAAUCUGGCAGAGGGGGGUAGAAUUCCACGUGUAGCAGUGAAAUGCGUAGAGAUGUGGAGGAACACCGAUGGCGAAGGGCAGCCCCCUGGGUCAAGAUUGACGCUCAUGCACGAAAGGCGUGGGGAGCAAACGAGG
rnacentral:rRNA from 1 species